GCGGAAGUAGCUCAGUGGUAGAGUACCUGCCUUCCAAGCAGGCUGUCGCGAGUUCGAAUCUCGUCUUCCGCUCCA
rnacentral:tRNA from 1 species